UGGGCCUGCAUGGACUGCGUUCGCGAGCUUUCUAUAAAUAUAGCUGAUCUAUCCGAGGGGCCCGACCUGAUCCGACCCCUCCGAUCUUUUCGGCCUCUCCGACCUUCCUGCACCUCGGUGCCCGGUACACAGCCCUCCAACCUUAUUUUGUGCUAGCGCAACAUAAGGUUGCUUGUUUUAUCAAGAAAAGUCCAUGGCCAUAUUCUGAUAACGAAGUGACGUUUUUCAUUGUUACCAUAUCCGCAUUUAUUACUCCCUACCUACCAAGACACGUGUUCAUUCAUCAAGCGCUCCAGCUGUUCUAUCCAAUUCAAAUCUAGCGGCCAAAAUUUAAACCCUAAAUAACUGUUUCAAAUCCCUUUUAUUCACGCUUCUUCUUCCAUUUCAACUCAUUUAUACUUAGGUUGGUUUUCUGCUUUGUUCUUUGGCUUCGCUCUAGCAACCUUCACCUUCCCAGAUUGCUUGCUUGUCCCUGUUCAUCCCUGUUUUGAGUACUAAGAUUGCUUAGGGUUUUCUAUUUGGCGAGAUGAUUUCUUACGAUAUCCAAUACCCUUGGGCUCCUUUAGAUCUUAAGCAAGAAUGUACUGGUUUUUGUAGUGAAAAGAGAGUCUAAACCUUUAGGGGUAAACAAUCCUUGUGUAAGAGUGAUGAGAAUGACGUGAUUGUGGGGGUGUGUGAGUUAGACGAGCCUGUCUGUAAAGAUGGUACUCUCCCUCCUCGGGAGACCUUCACCUUCAUAUAUGCCACACUAUUCGAGAGACUCGGAUUUCGACUUCCUUUCAACAAUUUUGAAAAGGGAUUAUUAACUACUUUAAAUGUAGCUCCUGCGCAGUUACACCCCAAUAGUUGGGCAUUUAUACGGGCCUUCCAUAUCCUAUGCGGGGGUCUCGGUAUCCGACCCACUCCUGCUAUGUUUUUGUAUUUCUUUGAGCUAAAGGGUGGCUCGUCCUGAUCAGUGUGGAUGUCUUUAAGUGGAGUAGAGGGCCGAGGUUUGUUUACUCUAUACCAAUCUUCCUAUAAGAGGUUUAGGGGAGCCUUUGUAAAAAUCUUAGCACCGGCACACAAUCCUACUUUAUUAGAAGGGUUUCCCUUAUACUGGACAAAAACUCCUCUCCUAAAGAGAGCUCGCCCCUUUGAAGAGCUAGAUCCGGCAGAUCAGAAAGGUUGUGCAGAACUGGAGGGUCUAGAGGUCAUUUUCAACAUCCGUAAGAUCUUAGACCUCGAAUAUCGAGAAGUAGACUUAAAACUAUUCAUUGAGAAACAAAUGGCCUUGUCUUAGAAGGACCUACUCCGACGAAUCAAACAGAAAGGGAAACCAAAAGAACAGAUUCCCCGAUCCCAAGCUCGGUCUUCAAAAAUCACUCUUGACAGUGAUCCUGAAACGACCCAAAGUGAUUCCCAAUUAAAAAAGAGGAAACUAGGUCAUAGAGAAAAUGAAGGUGAGAUUUUCGAGUCCAUUAACUGUAUGCCGACCAUUGACGUGACUGGGACCAGUGCACUUGUUGUUUCUAGGUCAAGAAAAAGCUUUUGGGACGAGGACUUUGAACAUCUCGCUAUGGGCGAGCUCACAACUUCUCCGUAACCGAUGGUACGGUGCUUUCUGGUAAAACUGUCACCUCGGCCCGAGAGGAUGUGUUACGCUAUCUGCAUCAGGCCGAGGCUUCAACACUUUUUCUGGUUGAUCGUAUGGAAGCAUUGGAGUUAAAUGAAUUUGUAUUAACAAACAGCCUUGAGAAAGCUAAGAAGGAGACGAUGCAACUCCGAUCUGAUGCUGUUGAACUUAUUAAAGUUCGCAAGACUUUAGAGGAAAAAGAGAUCGAGCUGAUUUCUUUAAAAACCAAACUGGAUGAGCUAGUGCCCUUAAAGACCAAGCUUGAGGAAUUAACGCCUAAGGUCGAGGUUUAUGAGACUCAGAUAUAAGAGCUGACAACCAAAUGCCAGAAUUUGGAGAAUGAGAAAGAAGAGCUUGCGGAUCAACUUUGUGCCACUCUGAACUAGGGGUUCCAACUAGCUCUAGAUCAAGUAAAGAUACUCUGCCCUGACGCUAAUAUCUCACUUGCGAGUAUUACGAAGGAAGUGAUAGAAGGUCAACUAGUAGAGAUAGGCGAUGAGUAAGAAGUAGGGAUAUGUAAUAUGCUUCUUUUGUUUAGAGAACUAUUUGCUUGCUUUACCUAAGUAUUUCUUCAACGUGUCCCCCAUAUGAAUGUUUGACUUGUGAAUUUUGGUGCGUUGCUUAAUUACAAAUGUAUGGCAAUGCUUAAGACUUCAGACAAAUUCAUAACAUAUUGAAA